rnacentral:rRNA from 1 species
GUAGUCUCGCACAGAUGCAUAUCAAUAAGCGGAGGAAAAGAAACUAACAAGGAUUCCCCUAGUAACGGCGAGUGAAGCGGGAAGAGCUCAAAUUUGAAAUCUUAAAGGGUUUCCCUUUACGAAUUGUAGUUUAAAGAAGUGUUUUCUGUUGGAGUUUUCGGUAAAAGUUCUUUGGAAUAGGACAUCAUAGAGGGUGAGAAUCCCGUAUUUGACCUUUACUUUCAACUUUGUGAUACACUUUCAAAGAGUCGGAUUGUUUGGGAAUGCAGUCCAAAAUGGGUGGUAAAUUUCAUCUAAAGCUAAAUAUUGGCGAGAGACCGAUAGCGAACAAGUAUCGUGAGGGAAAGAUGAAAAGAACUUUGAAAAGAGAGUUAAACAGUACGUGAAAUUGUCAAAAGGGAAGCGUUUGACACCAGUGUUGUUUUUCUGAAAAUCAAUUAAAGAACUGUUUAUGCUAAGUUGUUUAGACUUUAUCAGCUAAUCUGUUUAGUUUUGAGCUUUUCUUUAAUGCACUUUUCAGUUAACAAGUCAACAUCAAUUUCUUUUGCUGUAAAAAAGCUUGAGGAAGGUGGCUUGAGAUUCGUCUUAAGUGUUUAUAGCCUCUUGCCUAUGCAGUCGGAGAGAUUGAGAUCUGCAGCGUAGAUCCUUCGGGGCUAAAUGCAUUUGUGCUAAGUUAUAGCAUUUUAUAGACAACUUGUUGACUAUGAUUUGUCUUGUAGCUUACUCGCUUAUGUUAUUUUACCUACGCUUAGGAUGUUGACAGCAGUAUAGACUGU